UUCUAUAUCUAUUAUGUACAGAUAUGUAAAAAAUAUAGCUUUAAUUGGGAAAAUUUGCACUGGAUGAAGCACUUUAAAAUUCUUCUCCCAUGCCCCAGUACUGUCAAGUUUUUGCCUAGAGCAACGUACUGACUUUUUGAGUUCUGCUGGAUCCUGCCUAGAGAAACCGCUUGUCAUUUCAAAGUUGCAUUUAUAUUUCCAUACACUUUUUGAAUAUUUCGUUUUGGAAAGAGUAACUCCACCUGCUUCUUUUUUCCACAUGUGUACAUCAAAGGUGAAGCUGGGAUGUGUCCUCUUUCCUCUUAACCCCCUAGCUCAGGACCUGGUAAAUACAGCAAACGGGGAGUGAGUUUCUCAAAUGCCUGGCUGUGUCUGCCCUGUGGCUGCCCCGAGAUGGGGUGGUGGAAUAGCAAGAGGAGCCUUGCCAGCCUGCAGGACUCAGGUGCUGCUGAGCCCUCCAGUUACCACGACUACAGCGCUUUCCAGCAGGUUUCUAUAAGACAAGGAUGUUUUGGACAUGUUCAAGCCCCCAGAACUGGCUGCACCCCGUGUGCCUUUCUCUCAGUGCAGCAACUUAUGGGCUAAUAAUGGCCCCUGCCAGAGCAUAUUGUGCUGGGCGGUCACGGGUGGCAGAAACUACUGGCCUCUCUUUUGACAACCCACAGGAAACAUUUGCACCUCCAGCACUUUCCGCUCAAAGUGCUCCAUGGUAGCAACACCUGUGUGUGGUGCAGAAGCUGGGGCUACACUGCUUUAUAACUCGUCUUUCUAUCUGACCUCUGGAGUCCAGUGAAAGACCAAAACUUUACUGCUGUCCAUGUUCGCAUGUAGUAAUGGUGGGAGAACUAAAUGACACUGAAAAUUCUGGAAAUGAGGAGAAACAGACUAAAGCCACGGGCACCGGAUGAAUGAAGAGAGAGAAGAGUGCUUUAGUUGCUUAUACCUCGCUCUGCAUGCAGAACGCCUCCGUCACCGCCUGUUGCACUGUCCUGAUGCUUGUGCUCCCCUACAAGAGGCAGAUGGAACAAAUCUGGGAUGGCUGGCUCACUGUGGCCUGCUGUGCACUGGUGACCACCCUAGUGGCCUUGGCAAACCUGGCCGGCACGGCGCUGACCGUCACCAUCCAGAGGGACUGGAUCGUGAGCUGACGGGUGACAACAGAGGCCAGCUGGUUGGUGAGUGGUACCGCCCUGGGUACUGAUCCUCUAAUCAGCUGAGAAGUAGAGAGCUGACAAGGCAAUCAGGGCUCUGAGAGAGGCUGACAACAGCCUUUAAGAAUAUGUUAUUUGGAGUCAAUGAGACCUGGGUUUGAGUCUGAAUUCAGCUAAAAUCAGCUGUGCCUCUUACUAGAUGCAUACUCCAGGGCAAGUUACGUGACUUUCCUCAUCUGUAUAAUGAGGGAAAUAAAGACACACACACACACACACACACACACACAGCUCAGCUUUGGGAAGGAUUCUAUAAGAUAUAGGAUUUGGAAAGCACUUAACACUAUGUCUGCAUGUAGGAAGUGCCUAAAAAAUGAUUGGUACUGUAUUAUCUAAAGAAUAU